rnacentral:lncRNA from 1 species
UGCUGGGGAGACACAGGAGUAUGGAAAACCCGUCUGACUGUGGGAUCUCCUGCUGUAGAUCUGCAGAAAGCCAUUUCCUGACCACUUGCCUGUCGUGUAUGCGGGAUUGAAAUGGCUUUUAUUUUGCACAGGCUGAAGAUGGUGAAUUGAAACAACCAUAAUAAGAGUGGCAGCCAAAAACAAGGACAUUUACAAAGGAUAGUUAUUGCUUAGAUUAUGAAUAUCAAAUUUCUAUUGACAUGAAAAAAUUACAUCUUACAGAGAUAUUAUAAAUGUUGUCAUUCACAAUGAAGCAUAACAGAAAAGAUUUUACUCUCAGCUGCCUGUAGAAUUAAGUCACAUGAGCCAUUCUUCAGAGAAAUGUGAAGCUGAAACUUAGAAGGAUGCAAAUUUCUAUGUAUUGGUUCAACACUAGCAUGGAGAAUUGCUAUAUAGGAAAGACCAGUGGGGAAUGUAAAGUUCUCGGGGCAGAAAGAGUUUCCAGUUCCCCACUCACUUGUUCAGCUUCACUCAAUGAAGAAUGUCCCUGCCAGUCCUUAUCAAAAGAAUUGGUGUGAACUGGAGGAUUUUUAGGUCUUGGAAAAAUGACUGGAGAAGAGCUGUUUGAGGAAAUGCUCAGCAACAAGCAUUGAAAG